UUUGUGGGGCAUUCCUCUGUGAACAGUACCAUUCCCUUGACAUCUACAAUAUCAUCUUUCUUGUAGGUUUGCAUGUAUGUUGCCAAAGGUACAACUGCAUGUUUCCUAAAAGGCCUAGAAGACCUAUAUCAGGGUCUAGUCAUGCCAUGACCCUCCCGCCUCAGCCUCAGGCACACACCUCCCUGCCUGGCUUUGCAGAGUGGGCUGGGAAUUGAACUCAGGCCUCCCUGUUAUCCCAGCCUGAUGAGCAGCAGUGCCUCACUUCUGGCCCAUUACGUCCAUUUUACAGGAAGUUGUAUAUUGCUGUACAAAUAAUAAACAGCAUUUGCCAUCAUAGAAGGUAACCGUGGACACGAUGCGGAGCUACUGACACAUUUGUGAAGGUGUGAGAGAUAAGUGCACGUGCUUGAUUUGAUGUAGCAGCCCAGAGAGAACGGGCAGCAUGGAGACAGUGCUGAUCCCGAAGCCUCUGCUCAUAGAUUUACUAGAAAAGGCCGUGAGUCAGCAGGUCGGAGAGGCUCUCGAAACACCCCACACAGCGGGUGAGACGGAGUCGGACCUUGGAACCACGCAACUUCGGACUACCAGGGACGCAGAGAAGAGCUUCCAGUCCUCCAGAGAAACCAACAACAAACAGGAACAAACGGACAACGAGGAACCGGAAUAAGUUCAGA